AUGUGAUCGUCUCUCGCAUAUCAAUAAGCGGAGGAAAAGAAACUAACAAGGAUUCCCCUAGUAACGGCGAGUGAAGCGGGAAGAGCUCAAAUUUGAAAUCUUAAAGGGUUUCCCUUUACGAAUUGUAGUUUAAAGAAGUGUUUUCUGUUGAGGUUUUGGUAAAAGUUCUUUGGAAUAGGACAUCAUAGAGGGUGAGAAUCCCGUAUUUGACCUUUACUUUCAACUUUGUGAUACACUUUCAAAGAGUCGGAUUGUUUGGGAAUGCAGUCCAAAAUGGGUGGUAAAUUUCAUCUAAAGCUAAAUAUUGGCGAGAGACCGAUAGCGAACAAGUACCGUGAGGGAAAGAUGAAAAGAACUUUGAAAAGAGAGUUAAACAGUACGUGAAAUUGUCAAAAGGGAAGCGUUUGACACCAGUGUUGUUUUUCUGAAAAUCAAUUAAAGAACUGUUUAUGCUAAGUUGUUUAGACUUUAUCAGCUAUACUGUUUAGUUUUGAGCUUUUCUUUAAUGCACUUUUCAGUUAACAAGUCAACAUCAACUUCUUUUGCUGUAAAUAAGCUUGAGGAAGGUGGCUUGAGAUUCGUCUUAAGUGUUUAUAGCCUCUUGCCUAUGCAGUCGGAGAGAUUGAGGUCUGCAGCGUAGAUCCUUCGGGGCUAAAUGCAUUUGUGCUAAGUUAUAGCAUUUUAUAGACAACUUGUUGACUAUGAUUUGUCUUGUAGCUUACUCGCUUAUGUUAUUUUACCUACGCUUAGGAUGUUGAGUAGCGACAUACGCAC
rnacentral:rRNA from 1 species